rnacentral:rRNA from 1 species
GACGAACGCUGGCGGCGUGCUUAACACAUGCAAGUCGAACGGAAAGGCCCUGCUUUUGUUGGGUGCUCGAGUGGCGAACGGGUGAGUAACACGUGAGUAACCUGCCCUUGACUUUGGGAUAACUUCAGGAAACUGGGGCUAAUACCGGAUAGGAGCUCCUGCUGCAUGGUGGGGGUUGGACAGUUUCGGCGGUUGGGGAUGGACUGGCGGCUUAUCAGCUUGUUGGUGGGGUAGUGGCUUACCAAGGCUUUGACGGGUAGCCGGCCUGAGAGGGUGACCGGCGACAAGGGGACUGAGAUACGGCCCAGACUCCUACGGGAGGCAGCAGGGGGGAAUAUUGCACAAUGAGGGGAAGCCUGAGGAAGCAACGCCGCGUGCGGGAUGACGGCCUUCGGGGUGUAAACCGCUUUCGCCUGUGACGAAGCGUGAGUGACGGUAAUGGGUAAAGAAGCACCGGCUAACUACGUG